UACGUAGGGUGCGAGCGUUAAUCGGAAUUACUGGGCGUAAAGGGUGCGCAGGCGGUUAUAUAAGACAGAUGUGAAAUCCCCGGGCUUAACCUGGGAACUGCAUUUGUGACUGCAUCGCUGGAGUGCGGCAGAGGGGGAUGGAAUUCCGCGUGUAGCAGUGAAAUGCGUAGAUAUGCGGAGGAACACCGAUGGCGAAGGCAAUCCCCUGGGCCUGCACUGACGCUCAUGCACGAAAGCGUGGGGAGCAAACAGG
rnacentral:rRNA from 1 species